AAAAUACUGAGGCGCUUGAGAGAACUCGGGUGAAGGAACUAGGCAAAAUGGUACCGUAACUUCGGGAGAAGGUACGCCCUUUUUGGUGAGUUACCUAGCGUAACGAAGCUGAAGAGGGCCGCAGAGACCAGGUGGCUGCGACUGUUUAUUAAAAACACAGCACUCUGCAAAUUCGUAAGAAGAAGUAUAGGGUGUGACGCCUGCCCGGUGCCGGAAGGUUAAUUGAUGGGGUUAUCUUCGGAGAAGCUCUUGAUCGAAGCCCCGGUAAACGGCGGCCGUAACAAUAACGGUCCUAAGGUAGCGAAAUUCCUUGUCGGGUAAGUUCCGACCUGCACGAAUGGCGUAACGAUGGCCACACUGUCUCCACCCGAGACUCAGUGAAAUUGAAAUCGCUGUGAAGAUGCAGUGUACCCGCGGCUAGACGGAAAGACCCCGUGAACCUUUACUAUAGUUUUGCACUGAAUUUUGAUAAUAACUGUGUAGGAUAGGUGGGAGGCUUUGAAGUGUGAGCGCUAGCUUGCAUGGAGCCACCCUUGAAAUACCACCCUGUUGUUAUUGAGGUUCUAACUUGGUCCAGUAAUCCUGGAUGAGGACAGUGUAUGAUGGGUAGUUUGACUGGGGCGGUCUCCUCCCAAAGAGUAACGGAGGAGCACAAAGGUACCCUCGGUACGGUCGGACAUCGUACCAAGAGUGUAAAGGCAUAAGGGUGCUUGACUGCGAGAGUGACGGCUCGAGCAGGUACGAAAGUAGGUCUUAGUGAUCCGGUGGUUCUGUAUGGAAGGGCCAUCGCUCAACGGAUAAAAGGUACUCCGGGGAUAACAGGCUGAUACCGCCCAAGAGUUCAUAUCGACGGCGGUGUUUGGCACCUCGAUGUCGGCUCAUCACAUCCUGGGGCUGAAGCAGGUCCCAAGGGUAUGGCUGUUCGCCAUUUAAAGUGGUACGCGAGCUGGGUUUAGAACGUCGUGAGACAGUUCGGUCCCUAUCUGCCGUGGGCGUAGGAAAAUUGAGAGGAGCUGCUCCUAGUACGAGAGGACCGGAGUGGACGAACCUCUGGUGUACCGGUUGUCACGCCAGUGGCAUAGCCGGGUAGCUAAGUUCGGAAGGGAUAACCGCUGAAAGCAUCUAAGCGGGAAGCCUCCCUCAAGAUGAGUUUUCCCAUGAAGCCCGUUGAAGACUACGACGUUGAUAGGCAAGGUGUGGAAGCGCAGUAAUGUGUGAAGCUAACUUGUACUAAUUGGCUGAUUGUCUUGACC
rnacentral:rRNA from 1 species